GGUGGCUCGGAGCUGCAGCAGCCCGGGAGCGCCUGCGGUGUCACACGGACGCUAAAGGUACUUUUCUCCUCUUCUCACCCACCUGUAGGGCUUCAACCGAGCAGAAAACUUCAGGAAGACUUCUUUUGUCGUCUUCGGGAGAGACAGAUGUCCUGAUGCGUGCCUGCGGACCCCCCCGAGCAUCCCUGGCUGUCGCCUCCCCGGGCCGUUGCCGGCGGCUGUGGGUGCGGGACACGCCGCGACUGCCCUCUAGUGGCCCUGGGACCGGGAAAAGGACCGCUCCCGGCGCCGGGAAUGCGCCGCUCCUGCUCGGACUCAGAAGGAGCCAAUCUCUUUCUCUGGCUCCCACCUGAAAGCAGCACCUCUGCAGGAGCCUCCAGCACCCCAAGCACAGGCUGUGACAGGGGCUGCCCAGUAAAGACCUUGUGGAUUGAGGACCAGAAUGUGCCUUCUACCAUCCCACAAUGUCUGUGAUGUUCCACAGGAUCCAGGCUGCAAAUGUUUGGCUUUCUAGGACAAAGGUUUCUCACUACUUCCAUUUCCUUGGCUCUUCUAUCACCUGCUUUAUGUUUUGACUCAGAAUCAUGGAUGGAACUGAGUGGCUUUUCCUCCUCCUUUCCUUCUGGGAACAGAAAAGGAGGCUGAGACAUUCCAGUCACUUGGAAGCAGCUCCAGCAGCAGCAGGGAAGUGAUGGUGCCACUCCACUCUGCCCUGGCUGUCCUGAGUUCAAACUAUACAGGAGGUGUGGGGCUUGGAGGGAGAAGAAGACUACAAGACUCCCCUCCAUGUCCCCUGGUGCCACCUCAAAGCCCAGGACUCUCCCAACGCCCUCCCCAAGCCAUCACCCACCACUGGAUCCACCAUUUCUUCCUGUCCCUUUUUCCUUAUCAUCUGCUGAACCCAACCAGACUCAGGUCAAGUUUCUCCUGAGCUUCUUUUGGGGGCUGGAUGAAGGUCCCCAAGCACCAAGGCAGCAGCUGCCUCGUGGCAGAGUGGCUUAUUUGAGGGCAGCCACUCUCCUUUAUCUCUUUGAAGAUUAGGAGGGGGAGCUUUAGCAUGUCUUUAAAGUGAAAUUUCUCCCCACCCCUCCUUUCUGUUUUAUUAUGAUAAUUGAUGACCAGCAGGGAAAAAAAAACCCUUCCAACCCCUUUUCUUUUCCUUUAUCUCUUAAAUAUGGUUCUUUCCCCUUAAAAAAUGCAAUAUUUCUUUUAGCUGGGAAUAUGGAUGGGUCUGUGCUGAGCAGGGCUGCCUUGGCCUCAUCUGUCAACUUGAUGGUGUAAAGCCUCUGUUUUCAGCUGGCAUCCAGCAUGGAUUUCAAAGCUGUGACUCACCCCCUUCUAUGCUGCCUUAGGACUGGAAGGGAAGGUAAAGAAGCAGCCAACAAGAAAAUCAACAUCUUUGGGGCAGCUC